AAAUAGAUACCCUGGUAGUCCACGCCGUAAACGAUGAGUGCUAAGUGUUAGAGGGUUUCCGCCCUUUAGUGCUGCAGCUAACGCAUUAAGCACUCCGCCUGGGGAAUACGGCCGCAAGGCUGAAACUCAAAGGAAUUGACGGGGGCCCGCACAAGCGGUGGAGCAUGUGGUUUAAUUCGAAGCAACGCGAAGAACCUUACCAGGUCUUGACAUCCUCUGCCAACCCUAGAGAUAGGACGUUCCCCUUCGGGGGACAGAGUGACAGGUGGUGCAUGGUUGUCGUCAGCUCGUGUCGUGAGAUGUUGGGUUAAGUCCCGCAACGAGCGCAACCCUUGAUCUUAGUUGCCAGCAUUCAGUUGGGCACUCUAAGGUGACUGCCGGUGACAAACCGGAGGAAGGUGGGGAUGACGUCAAAUCAUCAUGCCCCCUUAUGACCUGGGCUACACACGUGCUACAAUGGAUGGUACAAAGAGCUGCGAACCCGCGAGGGUAAGCGAAUCUCAUAAAGCCAUUCUCAGUUCGGAUUGUAGG
rnacentral:rRNA from 1 species